CGUCACUUCCGGUGAGCGGGCUCCAGGCUGCCACGCGUGGAAGGUGGGUGCGCGCGGAGUUAGGCGGUGACCGUCGCUUGAACUGAACUUAAGGGCCCCUGGAUUAUCUGAAUGAAAAGUUGGGCAGAUUGAUCAACUUGUAAACAGUCUACUUCCUGGAUUUUGUAAAGACAAAAACAUUCCUUCCCCCUGGCAUACAUCUCAUGUUUCUGCACAGUGCUUCUUUGAAAAUAAAUAUGAUUCUGUUAGCCUAUUGAAAAUCCAGAAUGCAGUUCUUUCACGUGAAAGAUUAAUAGAACGUAAAAAAGUCACCGUGAAUUACUUGAAGUAAAAAUUUAAAAAAUGGAAAAUAAGGUUAGUGGACUACAAAAGGGGCUGUCAGGAACCAAAGAAAUGAAGUCACAGUUAGAGCAUCAAAAAGUGGAAUGGGAACGAGAAGUCUGCAGUUUGAGCUUUUGACUCUUUUUAGUGAUAUGAGACCAAAAACCUAGUGAAAUGUGUCUCUAGGUUGUAGAAGAGUGAAAUGACACUCAGAGGCAACUUUCUCAAGAACAAAAUGCCAGAAUAUUGCAAGAUGGAAUUCUGACCAAUCACCUUUGCAAACAAAAGACGAUAGAAAUGGCUCAUAAGAAAAUGAACACUGAGUGUCAUCUAAUUCAAACCACAAAGUGGAGCAUCCAAGUGCAGCGGGCUGGAGCACAUCCAGAAGGCAAAGGAGUAAAUCCAGAUAAUUAAGGCGGGAUCAAAACUAAAACCAGGAACCUGAGAUCUGGAAGCCAGGAAAAAGAGGCUUUUUAGUAUCCAGAGCUAAUGAACACCGUGAGAUAUUAGUAUUGAAAUUUAUCUAGCCUGGAUGGACCCUCACUGCUGCCAUCGGUAAUCUGGUGACCACGUGAGUAAAAAAAAAGUCAUCGUAUUGAAGAAUCAAGACUCAAGGGGUGCAUAAGAAAAAGUUUAUUCUCCAUUCCUGUCUCCCCUCCCCCCCCCCCCACACCUGCUCACACUCAUUCUGUGGAGUUAUUUGUGGGUCCUUCAGAGUCCUCCCCAUCUCACUGGGCAUCUCUCAACAGCCGUUCUCUUAGAUUCAAGCAAAAACAGUUCCAACCUCCUUCUGCUGAGUUCUCCUGGCCCCUCCAGGCCGCAGGAUUGUCCCCGAGGAUUUAAGACAGCCCCGGGCGCAGCUCUCUCCUCUGUGGCCCACAUCAGGCCCGUAGGAAACGCUCCCCUCUCAUCCGCCACUAGAGGGCGCGCGGUCACUUCCCAAACAAACAUGUCCCCGCCGCCGUGGGAAGUUUCAGCCACGCAGUUUCCUGCAGAACGUUUUUGAAGCACACAUCAGAGGCCGUCUGCAAGAAGCAAUUAUCAAGCUCCCAUCUGGUGGAGGGACGGUUCACAGCACAUCAGUCAUACUCUAUUGAGAAAUCUUGUCUGAUCUCCGAUCGCAAAUAUUUUGUACAGGGUGAGAUCUGGGUUAAGGGUAACAAAACUAGUUUUAAACAUCUGCGUUGUAAGUUCUGGCUGGGUGGCCUAGCACCUCACUUUGGGAAGUGGAAGCCGUUAACACAUCGUCUAGGGGGCUCUGCGUAAACAAAGACUGCACAUGAACUGUUACGUGAGGACUCACAUACCUAGGAUCUUACCAGUGUUUGUCGUUAUACUUGAGGAAAGAGGGAAAGGAAGGAGGGGAGGGUGAGACGGAGAACAGAAAGGACAUUUCGUUUUCCUAAGCAUUUGUUAUGUUCCUGCUGCUGUGCCAAGCCCUUUGAAAUAUGCAUAUUUGGGGUGUUAUUAUCCUAGAGUUUACAAGUGGGUUUACAACAGAAGCUCAUGGAGGUGAAGGAACUUGCCUGAGGUUACACAGCUCGGAGGUGUGGGGGUCCUGGGUCUAGCUGACUCCAUACGCCAUGUUUGUUCAUAAUUACACUUUUGUUCAUGACUAUGCAUGAUCAUUACUGAUACACGUGGUAAACCAGUGACCUAUAUUUUUUACAUAAAUAAAAGACCAGAAUAUUUGGAAAUUUAAAAGGAGGUGGGCCUCCUUUUAAAAAGAAAAGCUGGAUGGACUGUUGAUCACUUCUGUCCUGUUGCCGGAAGCCUGUAGUUAGGCUGUUCUUAUCAUGCGGUGUUCCUCAAAAAUCCUCUGCCCCAGAAUCACCCAGAACUUGUCACAAAUGCAGCUCCCUGAACUGACUCUUGUGUUAGUUUGCUGUUGCUGCUGUAACAAGUUACCACAAACCUAGUGACUUAAAACAACAAAGUUACAAUUAGAAGCCUAAAGCAGGGGUGCACGAUUUCUGGACAGUCUAGGGAGAAUCUGUUUCCUCGCCUUUGCCAACUGCUAGAGGCCACCAGCAUUCUUUGGUUCGUGGCCACAUCAUUCCGUCCUCUGCUUCUGCCAUCACAGCUCCUGCUCCGACUCUGAAACGCCUGCCUCCCUCUUUCACUUACGAAGACCCUUGCGAGUAUAUUGGGCCCACCCCCAUAAUGCAGGAAAAUCUCAACUCAAGAUCCUUAACUUAAUGACAUCUACAAAGUCCCUUCUGACAUGUAAGGGAACAUAUUCCGAGGUUUGGGGGAUUAGCACGUGGACAUCUUGGGAGGCCAUUAUUCUGCCUACUAUGAUGCCCUAGGUUCCUAUUCGGAAGUUUGAUGUGGGACCCAGGAAUCUUUGUAUCUGACAAGCCCCCGGCCGUUCCUGCACUCAGGUUUGAGAACCAUUACCGUAAAUGCAUACAUACCCUGUUUGUAAAGGCAAGCAUCCUAGGAGAUCUGAUAUCUUCGCCAACAACCUAUUUUAAAUCUAAAUUUGUUCUGUCAAAAUUAACAUUUCCAAGAUUUUAAAGUAUGGCUUUUGCCCUAAUUCAAUAUUCUAAUGUCAAAUUAUUUGACAGUAUUUUAAAAUUUCUUCUUAUUUUGUUUUCAAUCCACUAAGCAGUCUACCUUCCUUCUUAAGUAGGCUUCCAGUAUUUAUCUUAUUUUCUCCUUACCAAUAUUUUUAUCAUAAGCUGUAAGCAUUGAAUGCAGGAUUCCGUACUAAGAUUUUGCAAUAGACCUUAAUUAUUUACAAUAUUGUGGUUAAGAGUAUCAAUUUUAUAACCAACUAGUCUUGGUUCAAAUUCCAGAUCUGCCAUUUCCAAGCUGUAUAACUUGGAUAAAUAUGUAACCUCUCUGUGUCUAGAUUUUCUCACCUGCAAAGUGAGGGUGAUAAUAGUCCUUGUCUCUUAAGAUUGUUGUGGGGAUUAAACGAGUUAAUAUAUGCAAAGUACUUAGACUAGCACCUACCACAUGGUCCAUACUCAAUAAAUGUUAGCUAUUAUUCUUGAAUAAUAAUAUGGUUCACCAUAUUGCAUCUCUUUGUAUAUUAGUGCUGUGCUUUUAAGGGUUAGUGUACACCCCCACAUUUUUGUCUUCAUUGGUAGUCAAGGAGAGAGAAUAUGUAGCACAUGUAGCCUGUGAUUUGGGGGGACUACCUUGCUUUCUCUGUGGGACCUUGUUUGCCUGACUUGGGCCUCAGUGGGAAUGACUUAAGUGGUCUUAAAGACUUGGGAGAGAAGGGUGUGGUCAGUCGGGAAGGACUCUCUUGCUGAAGGGAGGAAGGGGAGGGGGUGAGACAUUGGUCUCUCUCAGUUGCAGGUCAGAGAUCAGAGUCAUUACACCCUGUCAGUGGGAGGGCAAGAGGGACUCUCAACAAGGUUCUCGUAUCUAUCAGGGUCCUAGCAGGAAGAGAUGGAGCAUUCAAACUGGGAUAAUUUUAGGACUAUUUAACAAAGGGAUGAAGGUGGAGAGGAGUAGGGUGUCCUGGGACCAGUAACAGCAGGAGUGCUGUUGUCCUUCAGCCUGAAGGGGCAUGGGGAGGGAGCAGAAAUGGAGCCCCCUGUGAAGGAGGCCGUGGGGCAGAAUGGGGUGCAGUCUGCCCUGAGCCACCUCUAGGGAGGAAGUGGGGGGAAAAAAAUGCUAACCUCAUUCUCUUCCCUCUGAUCUCCUGCUAGGGUCCUCAUUGGCCAAACCCAGCUAGAAGCCAGAAGACAUCUGUGUAGUGUCCACAGGUCAGCCCCCAGUGGCUCAGAGCAAGGCUGAGAAGGGUGGAGAUAGGUCUGGAGGGGCAAAUGGAAGAUCUCCAGGACAAGAAGUCUUUUCAUUCCUUGAAAAAGAUGUUACUGCCCUGCAUGCCCUAAAGAGGUGGUGGGGGAGUGUUAAUCCAAGCGAUAACCAGCAGGGAGCACCAGGCGGCAGAGACAGCCUGGCAGGCCAGUAGACCAGGUCAGCACACUGUUUGAGACCUGAGGAAAGCGCCAAAUAAGCCCCAGUGGGACCAUUGACAGGGCUUGCAUGAGCUUGCCAGCUUAAGGGAGGGUCCCACUUGGGGCAGUGCCUGUCCCGGAGGCAAGGCGUGUCCUCGGAGUGCUGAGUUUUUGUCAGAGAGCCACACACAGCACUUCAUCAUUAUUAUGAAAAGACCUUUGCUGAGGAGCUAGAGUGCUUCGAAGUAAGAAGCGCUGAAAUGUUCCGUAGAGUGUUUCAGAGGUCUCUGAGUGAUGCUGGGGCCUGUGCCAGGCCCUUUGGUACUAUGGGCCACUUCUAUAUUACAUUAUAUCCAGAUGUUUAGAAUGCCCUGAGGAAAGAAACAUUAUUCUUUUAGGAGCUUAAAGAUUCUAGAUAUGCAGACAGAAAGCCAACAAACAGAAAUAGCAAGAAAAAAAAUGAAAAAGUUUUAACCUGGAAAAAGAAUGGAGCAAUUUGGGAAUCUAGGUGGAAUGCACAAUUGUUAGCAGUGCAAACGCGGAGAACAGUAAUGUCAAGAGGUAAAAGAAUAUUCAACGUCAGAGAACACUUCCAACUUUGCCUUGCCUCUUCUAUCUAUUGUCCACCCAGCAGCUAGAGUAGUCUUGAAAAACUAUAAAUCUGAAGGUGUUACUCAUGUGCUUAGAAACUCUGAGUAGCUUCCCCUGGAGCUUUGAAUAAAACCCAAACUUCUUACUGGCCCAGCGUCCCUGGAUGAUCUCUCCCAUACGUGCUGCUUCCACCUACAUAUCUCCCACAUGCUUGUUACUGAACCAGGUUUGUUUUUGCCCAUUGCCCAAAAGGCCUAUCACUGAAAUGACAACAUCACAGCAGAGAGAGAAUUUAAUCACAAGGCAGCCAAGUGAGGAAGCAGGAGAAUGAGCCUCAAAUCCACCUACCCAAAAAUGGGGACUCAGGGGUAUUUAUGGAGUAGGGGGCCGCACCGUCUGAAGUGUAGGAAUAGAUGGUUGGAGGUAAGGAGAAGUGAAGUAAUUGAUGAUCAGUGCAAGAGUAAUCAAGCUUCAUGCCUCUUCAUAGGACACAUGUUCACAAAAUGGCGGUGUUACCAUGAUCUGAGGGAGAGUUUUAGCUUCUUGACGUCAAAAAGUUCACUUGUCAGCAUUUGCAUAGGCCCAGUGGAUGGGUUAGUGGUCUCAAUAGGCCUGAACUGGGCGGAAAGUCUCAGUUCCUGAAAACUCCCCCUUAGUUACUCUGUUGAUAAGUUGGGGUCAAUUGAACUGGUCUUGGAGGGCCUGCAGUUGCACACCCACUGUAUUCCAUCAAUAUUCACCAUCCCUUUCCUACAACUGCAUGCUCUUGACAGCACUUGUGCUCCCUUCUGUUGCACCAUUUCCUUCACCUACCCCUGUAGAGCUGCAGCCUUCCCUAACCGCUGAAUCUCAAGUUGGUUGCCCUCUAUCUCUCUGCCCUUUCUGUUUCCUUCAUAGGACUCAUCUCAAUUUGUAGUUUUUAUUUGUUUACUUGUUUAUUGUCUGCCU